UCCCUGACUCCUUGAGAGUCCUGAAGGAACGUUGAAGACGACGACGUUGAUAGGCCGGGUGUGUAAGCGCAGCGAUGCGUUGAGCUAACCGGUACUAAUGAACCGUGAGGCUUAACCUUACAACGCCGAAGCUGUU
rnacentral:rRNA from 1 species